CACGUAGGGGGCGAGCGUUGUCCGGAAUUAUUGGGCGUAAAGAGCUCGUAGGCGGUGUGUCGCGUCGGCCGUGAAAACCUGCAGCUUAACUGUGGGCCUGCGGUCGAUACGGGCAUCACUGGAGUUCGGCAGGGGAGACUGGAAUUCCUGGUGUAGCGGUGAAAUGCGCAGAUAUCAGGAGGAACACCGGUGGCGAAGGCGGGUCUCUGGGCCGAUACUGACGCUGAGGAGCGAAAGCGUGGGGAGCGAACAGG
rnacentral:rRNA from 1 species